AAAGUACUCCCUCCGUCCCAAAAUUCUUGUCUUAGAUUUGUCUAGAUACAGAUGUAUCAAGUCGCAGAUACAUCCGUAUCUAGACAAAUCUAAGACAAUAAAUUUGGGACAGAGGGAGUAGUUG
rfam:Triticum aestivum genome assembly, contig: Triticum_aestivum_CS42_TGACv1_scaffold_513324_6BS